UCAUCAAUUCAUCUUUUCACCAUGUUCGUGUUCUGUGUUAUUUCUUGUAAAGGUCCUCAAGGCUAUUCGGAGCAUAGUAUGUUCAAUUCAUUCGUCCUCACUUACAUCUCUUGUAGUUGACUUGAAAAGCUUUCACGUCAUCACUUUGCUACUCUUUUGGGCAAUUUUCUCUCCAAUUCUGGAUUUCAUCGGUCCUUCAAUCGCUCUCUAGUUAACUUCCCUAGCAAUUAGCUCCGAGAUUUUUUGUCUCUCCGUGUGCUGCUCCUGAGCUGAAUGUGCAUAUGUCUGAUUAAUGUGCCUUACCUGAAGUCUCUUUUCAGCGCUGAGCAGUUAAUGCAUUUUCAGUCUUCACCACUGCUACUUUACCCGACUCGACUACAUUGAUGCCUUCCAUGUGUACUUCUAUUCGGUACUUCAUUGUGGCUUGAAGCCACAGAAUCUCUUGAUCGACCUACGGACUAAUGCCUUGAAGCUUGCUGAUUUUGGCCUUGCAAGAGCAUUUGGCAUACUUGUGAGGACUUUCACUCACGAGCUGUCUCAUGGUGAAUACUUGUGAAAGACACUCUCAGUAAAAUGAUCUAUCCAGAUAAUUUACUCUUAAGCUUUUCUCUUGAUGAUUUAAUAUGCAGAUUGCUAGAUACUCCAAUAUAGGAAAUGUAGCUAGGGGUAACUUCUCUUCCAGAUUACAAAUCAGCUUUUCCAACGUAGGCUUCCAAGAACAUGGCAUCAAUUGUUCCUAGUUAGGAGCCGUUAGGCAUUGACUUACUAUCGAUAAGUUUCUUUACGCGAGGCUUAACUUUUUUUUGAAUAUUUGCAUUUGUUAUUCAAGUUCAGUGAAAGUUUUGCUCUUAUGGUAGUUGUUGGUUUUGGUGAUCUGGUGCAUAGGCUUGAUUUGUUGGUAUAUUUGUCCGAUGUAUUUCACUAGAACGGAUGCCUUUUAGAUUCCUACGUUAUAUUACUCUCCUCUGCCUAGCUUAUAAAUGUUCUGAACUAUUGAUAAUAAUAUUUGAUAACGCAAGCAGAUGCCAACAAGUACUUGUGCCGUUGCAAUCAGUGUGCUUAUAACAACACAUUCAAAAUUGAUAUAGUUGAUCUUUGGUUCUAUUUUGAUGUACAGAAAAUGCUGAUAAUGGAGUUAAGUCGACAAUAUCCGCUUACAUUGCACUGGAGCACGAGUGUUUCAAGGAUGUCAGUUUGGUGCCGUGAUAUCUUCAUGCAAUUCUGUGCGACACAGCCUCAACGUUGAUGUAGAUAACCAGACAUUUUUCCACUUGAAAGGCAGAAAAAAUAUCUUUGCAUAAUAGUGUGAAUGACAGCAAUGCUUUGUGAAGCUAGUGCACGAAUUAUUUGGAGCAUUCAUGAAUUGUGUCAAGCUAGGAGAGAUAUUGUCAGACCAUAUUUUUCUUUAGUAAUUUUUAUUUCUUUCCGCGACUUCUGGAUGAAAUCCAAAAGUAGACAUGUUUUUGAAAUUUGUAACUCCGCUUUCAUCUGUCCA